GCACAAGCGGUGGAUGAUGUGGAUUAAUUCGAUGCAACGCGAAAACCUUACCUACCCUUGACAUGUCCGGAAUCCCGAAGAGAUUUGGGAGUGCUCGCAAGAGAACCGGAACACAGGUGCUGCAUGGCUGUCGUCAGCUCGUGUCGUGAGAUGUUGGGUUAAGUCCCGCAACGAGCGCAACCCUUGUCAUUAGUUGCCAUCAUUUGGUUGGGCACUCUAAUGAGACUGCCGGUGACAAACCGGAGGAAGGUGGGGAUGACGUCAAGUCCUCAUGGCCCUUAUGGGUAGGGCCUUCACACGUCAUACAAUGGUCGGUACAGAGGGUUGCCAACCCGCGAGGGGGAGCUAAUCCCACAAAGCCGAUCGUAGUCCGGAUCGCAGUCUGCAACUCGACUGCGUGAAGUCGGAAUCGCUAGUAAUCGUGGAUCAGCAUGUCACGGUGAAUACGUUCCCGGGUCUU
rnacentral:rRNA from 1 species